AAGCUACACUACAUUUUAUCUCUAUCUUUUGUUAAAGAAUGUUGCGAAUGCAUAAACAUACACCUCAAGAAACUCAAAAAAAGGUUUAUAUCAAAGAGAUUCGAAGAGCCUAAAACUCCCAAAUUAAGUAGUGUUAAUCUUUAAAAUGUAUGUUUGUUGAGCUUUCACCAGAUAACUUGUAGAUUACUUUAAAGAACCCAAAAAUCGAAACUUCCUUUAUGUGAACUUAAGCGAAAAAGUUUCCUGGUGAAACUCUUUUUGGUACUUGCAGUAUGAGGAACAUUCUCUAUAGUAGUUUGGCAUGCAAUAUUUAAAAUUUUGAACUUUGUCUUGGAAAAAAGAAAUCAAUUUUGUAUCUUUAUCUAAGAAAUCAAUUCUUGUGAGACUGGUAGACCACACUAGUCUACCAUAAUCGAAGAGCUGAGACUUUAAGACCAAAAAGAGGCCAUACAAAUAGGGAAUUCAAUUCAGUGAGGAAAUGGUGAAUUGCUUGUAGCGCAGAAAAGUCAUACAUAUGUUGUAAUUCAUGAGUGGCCCAUCUUUGCCAUUGUCGAAGAAAUUGACAAACUUUAAACGAGUCAUUGAAACAACAACUGCCACAGCAGAAGCGCAAUGCAAGUCUCUACUAGAAAACUGCGCCAAAACCAAAUCUUUAAGAACUACCAAGUGCGUCCAUGCCCAUGCCACGACACUCGGGCUCCUUCAACCCCUCAGCUCGACCCAUUUGCUUUCUCUCCUGACAGCAGCGUAUGCAUUCUGUGGUCACACGCUGUAUGCUCGUAAAGUGUUUGAUGAAUUGCCUCAAAGAACUAUGCUGUCGUACAGGUCCAUGAUAAGAAUGUACACCCAGAAUGGGUUGCCUAAAGUUGCACUCCAACUCUUUGGGGAAAUGCUGCGAUCGGAUAGACACAAGCCUGAUAGACAUACUUUCCCGUAUGUGAUUAGGGCGUGUAGUGAUUUGUUCUUACUUCAGCAGGGUGUUGUUAUUCAUGGGUUGGCUGUUAUAAGUGGAUGUAUGUGGGAUACUUUUUUGGGGAAUUCACUUUUGUGCAUGUAUAUGAAUUGCGGAGAUAAAGAGGGUGCUAGGAGGGUCUUUGAUGCAAUGCAGGUCCGAACUGUUGUGACCUGGAACACCAUGAUCAGUGGGUAUUGCCGAAAUGAUAGUCCCAAGGAGGCGUUAAUGAUUUACAGGAGAAUGGAAGAUGCGGGUGUUGAUGCUGAUUGUGCCACUGUGCUUUCCCUGUUGCCUGCGUGCGGGUGUCUGAAGGAUGUUGAGAUGGGCAGAGAGGUUCACUCAUCGGUUGAGCAAGUGGGUUUUUGGGACAAUUUGUCAGUUCGGAAUGCUGUUGUUGAUAUGUACGUCAAAUAUGGAAGAAUGGAUGAAGCAAGGUUGGUUUUUGAGAAGAUGAUCAAUAGAGAUGUGGUGACUUGGACUACAAUGAUCCACGGGUUCAUUUCAGAUGGCGACAUAAAGAAUGCACUAUGGUUUUCUCAAAAGAUGCAGCUUGAAGGUGUAAAGCCGAAUGCAGUAACUCUGGCAUCUCUUCUAGCUGCAUGCGCCAGUUUGCCUCAUUUGAGGCUUGGUAAAUGUCUACAUGGCUGGGCUAUCAGGCAGGACCUUCAGGCUGAUGUUAAUGUAGAAACUGGCCUCAUUGACAUGUAUGCUAAGUGCAAUUGUUUUAGGCUUGGCUAUCAGGUGUUCGCAAAGACUAACAAGAAGAGGACUGUCCCAUGGAAUGCAAUUUUGUCUGGUUGCCUUCAUAAUAAGCUUGCAAGAGAAGCGAUAGAGCUUUUCAAGUUAAUGUUGUCCGAGGCUGUCAAACCUAACGAUGCAACCCUGAAAAGUGUACUUCCUGCAUUUGCCAUUGAAGCUGAUCUCAGGCAAGCAUUGAGCAUGCACAGCUAUCUUCUAAGAUCUGGAUUUGUUAAGAGAACUGAGGUAGCCACUGGUUUAGUUGAUAUAUACUCAAAAUGUGGAAACUUGGAUAAUGGUCACAAAAUCUUCAAUGAGAUACCCAAGAAAGAAAGGGACAUAAUCUUGUGGAGUACGUUAAUAGCUGGUUAUGGGAUGCACGGGAAUGGCNAUACUUCUCUGUCACUGUUUAAUGAGAUGGUGCAAUCUGGGGUCAAACCUAACGAAGUCACUUUCACCUCGGUUUUGCAUGCCUGCGGUCAUGCUGGUUUGGUGGACGAUGGUCUUUGUUUGUUUAAGUUCAUGCUUAGAAAUCAUUCUGAUAGUCUUAGAACAGAUCAUUAUACUUGUAUGGUUGAUCUUCUUGGUCGGGCUGGCCGACUUGAGGAAGCAUACGAACUUAUUAAAACUAUGACUUUUGAACCAAGUCAUGCCAUCUGGGGUGCUCUACUUGGUGCCUGUGUGAUACAUGAAAAUGUGGAACUGGGAGAAUUGGCUGCAAGAUGGCUAUUUAAGCUGGAGCCAGAGAACACAGGAAAUUAUGUACUGUUGGGAAAGAUAUAUUCUGCAGUUGGAAGAUGGAAAGACGCGGAGAAUGUGAGGCGUUUGAUGGAUGAAGUCGGACUAGUAAAGACGCCAGCUCAAAGUGUCAUUGGGUGACAAGUAGGUGAUUUCAUUUAGUUUUCGAGUAAAUAGAGCCAAACGAGAGCUGCAGGGUGAGAGCGACAUCUGAGAACCAUGCAGCAACAGGAUGAAAGCUAACCCUCUUAGUCUCCGGUGGUUUUUAUGACCUCCUGAAUUUUGAUAUUGUAAAUUAUAUUUCUGCAGUGCUCCUCACAGCUCGAUAUAUAAUUGCAAGAUGGAUACAUUUUUAUACAAAUCGGCCAAUCACAACUGUUCAUGUACUGAGGUCGAAGCUGGUUGAGAUCACCACUUAACUUCAAGAAUUCACAUGGCUCGGUUCACUAUGGCAAGAGAAGGAUGAAAAUUAAUUGUGAUGCCUGUUCGCGAGCAACCAGAAGUCCAAACUCUUAUAUCUUUAUUUAUUUUUAAGGUCCCAAGUGUUACUAUGCUAGCGGGAAGGAUGUGUUUUGGUGAAAAAUUACUCCUCGCAACAAAGAAUUCGUUUGACAGAGUGUAUUAGAAAAAUUAUUCAUGUAUUAAGUGUGGUAUUAUUUAAUAUUUUGUUUGAUAGCAAUUUGGGAAAAUGUAUAACUAAGACAUCUCAUUUGAUGGUAUUAGUAUACAAGGGUUUUAAUGCAUGGGAUAAAUAUGAGUAAAGAUAAAAAUGCCCUCAAAUUCCUUAAA